rnacentral:rRNA from 1 species
AGUGAACGCUGGCGGUAGGCCUAACACAUGCAAGUCGAACGGCAGCACAGUAAGAGCUUGCUCUUACGGGUGGCGAGUGGCGGACGGGUGAGGAAUACAUCGGAAUCUACUUUUUCGUGGGGGAUAACGUAGGGAAACUUACGCUAAUACCGCAUACGACCUACGGGUGAAAGCAGGGGAUCUUCGGACCUUGCGCGAUUGAAUGAGCCGAUGUCGGAUUAGCUAGUUGGCGGGGUAAAGGCCCACCAAGGCGACGAUCCGUAGCUGGUCUGAGAGGAUGGUCGGCCACACUGGAACUGAGACACGGUCCAGACUCCUACGGGAGGCAGCAGUGGGGAAUAUUGGACAAUGGGCGCAAGCCUGAUCCAGCCAUACCGCGUGGGUGAAGAAGGCCUUCGGGUUGUAAAGCCCUUUUGUUGGGAAAGAACAGCAGCAGGUUAAUACCCCGCUGUUCUGACGGUACCCAAAGAAUAAGCACCGGCUAACUUCGUG